UGGAGCAACCUCGGCUCUGUACUGGGUGGAUAGCUCUGGGAAGCAGCACAGUGCAGUGGUGGAGACCAUAGCUUCUGAAGCCAAAUUGCUGCCAACCAGCUGUAGGACCUUGGACCAGCAAAACCUGAUUUCUAUCCUGAGUGUUCCAGACUGAAAUGUCCGUAUCCUAUCAAGGGUAUGUAGACAGAUACAAGGGGAUGCAUCACUCCUCAAGACAAGCAAGAUAUUCUGGGGGUACAAUUCUGUUAAAUAAGAAAUUGCUGCCAUGUUGUGAGCCACCCUAUGGAGAAGUCCAUAUGGCAAGGAACUGGACUUUCUUUGGCCAACAGCCAGCAUGGACUAAGGCCCUCAGCCCAAUAGCCUGCAAGGAUGGAAUCCCGCCAAUAAUCCCUGAGUGAGCUUGGCAGUGAACCCAUCCCCAAUCCAGGCUUGAGAGGACUUCAGCCCCAGCCCACACCUUCACUGAAGCCUUGACUGGAGCCAGAGGACCUGCUAAGCAACACCCACAUUUCUGACCCACAGAA